rnacentral:rRNA from 1 species
AUGUCGACGGCGGCUGCAUCCCGGCCCAGCGGCCCUGUGCUUCUGAGCCCCUUUCCCAACUACCAAUCCGCCUCGCUCUCCCGUGUCAAGCUCUCCGUCGGCGGCUCAUUCCGCUGCAGCCUCCACAAGGAGCGAAAGCAGGAGGCCCCGGCCGCCGGCAGCUGCAGCAAGCACACGGCCAGUACGUGCGCGCAGCUCGUCCCAAGCGGCAGCGGCAGCGGCUGCUCUAAACGCUCGUACAACGGGCUGGCGCAGCGCGUCCCCAUGGGGAGCGGGCACUGGGCACGGAACGCGCUCGUGCCAUCCCACGCGGUGCAGCAGCUGCAGCACCGGAAGCGAGUGGUGGAGCGGUUCCACGCCGGGGCUAGCCGGCUCUCCGUCGCCUCCAUGGCCGGCCGGAUCAACCAGUAA